rnacentral:rRNA from 1 species
GGAAUCUUCCGCAAUGGACGAAAGUCUGACGGAGCAACGCCGCGUGAGUGAUGACGGCCUUCGGGUUGUAAAGCUCUGUUAAUCGGGACGAAAGGCCUUCUUGCGAAUAGUGAGAAGGAUUGACGGUACCGGAAUAGAAAGCCACGGCUAACUACGUGCCAGCAGCCGCGGUAAUACGUAGGUGGCAAGCGUUGUCCGGAAUUAUUGGGCGUAAAGCGCGCGCAGGCGGAUAGGUCAGUCUGUCUUAAAAGUUCGGGGCUUAACCCCGUGAUGGGAUGGAAACUGCCAAUCUAGAGUAUCGGAGAGGAAAGUGGAAUUCCUAGUGUAGCGGUGAAAUGCGUAGAUAUUAGGAAGAACACCAGUGGCGAAGGCGACUUUCUGGACGAAAACUGACGCUGAGGCGCGAAAGCCAGGGGAGCGAACGGG